CAAUAGCGUAUAUUUAAGUUGUUGCAGUUAAAAAGCUCGUAGUUGGAUUUCGGGUGGGACGCAGCGGUCUCGCAUUGCGUUUGUACUGCUGAAGCCCUCCUUCUUGCCGGGGGCGGCCUCUCGGACUUCACUGUCUGGGGGUCAGAAUCGGCGAUGUUACUUUGAGUAAAUUAGAGUGUUCAAAGCAAGCUUACGCUCUGAAUAUAAUAGCAUGGGAUAACACGACAGGACUCUGGCCUAUCGUGUUGGUCUAUAGGACCAGAGUAAUGAUUAAGAGGGACAGUCGGGGGCAUUCGUAUUCCGUUGUCAGAGGUGAAAUUCUUGGAUUUACGGAAGACGAACAUCUGCGAAAGCAUUUGCCAAGGAUGUUUUCAUUG
rnacentral:rRNA from 1 species